UGAACGCUGGCGGCGUGCUUAACACAUGCAAGUCGAACGAAGCGUCCCGCCCGAUGAAGUGGAGUGCUUGCACAAAGCAGAAUCAAUUGGGAUGACUUAGUGGCGGACGGGUGAGUAACGCGUGGGUGACCUGCCUUACACAGGGGGACAACAGUUGGAAACGACUGCUAAUACCGCAUAACCCGCUAGUAUCGCAUGAUACAGACGGAAAAGAUUUAUCGGUGUAAGAUGGACCCGCGUCUGAUUAGCUAGUUGGUGAGGUAACGGCUCACCAAGGCGACGAUCAGUAGCCGGCCUGAGAGGGUGAACGGCCACAUUGGGACUGAGACACGGCCCAAACUCCUACGGGAGGCAGCAGUGGGGAAUAUUGGACAAUGGGGGAAACCCUGAUCCAAGCGAUGCCGCGUGAGUGAAGAAGUAUUUCGGUAUGUAAAGCUCUAUCAGCAGGGAAGAAAAUGACGGUACCUGACUAAGAAGCCCCGGCUAACUACGUGCCAGCCGCCGC
rnacentral:rRNA from 1 species